rnacentral:rRNA from 1 species
AUCGAACGCUGGCGGCAUGCCUAACACAUGCAAGUCGAACGAGUGGCGGAGGGGCGAGCAGUGUCGUGGAAACUGCCCGACGGACGGGGCUAACUACUGGAAACCGUAGCUAAUACCGCUAACCACCGUAUGUGCUCAGAUGGGAGUAGGUAGCAGGGGGGGUAACGGCUCACCUAGGCGACGAUGCCUAGCUGGACUGAGAGGGUGACUGGCCACACUGGGACUGAGACACGGCCCAGACUCCUACGGGAGGCAGCAGUGGGGAAUAUUGCGCAAUGGGCGAAAGCCUGAUGGAGCAAUGCCGCGUGUGUGAAGAAGGCCUUCGGAUUGUAAAAUACUUUCAGCGGAGAGGCGGUACUCAAAGAGGAAGCACCGGCUAACUACGUGCCAGCAGCCGCGGUAAUAC